ensembl:lncRNA
UUUUCAAAUACUCAGGGCAGAGAUAAACCACGAUCAUUUGCACAAGGACAGGACUCUUUGAACUAGGGAAAUGCAAACUGGCAACUCAACGGCAAACCGUUAGCAUUACAAGCGGCCAAUUUUAAAAGGUCAAUAUACCAAACUAACGGUAUUCAUCAAAGCAGCAACAUAUAAUCCUAACGUUUCAUUUAUAAAGUGCGCCGUGUGUGAUGGCAACAAAACCCAGGAGCCGAGGGAGGACGAGCCGAGCUGACGUAGUUGGGGGGAGAGACCCGCUCCCAGGAAGACUCUCGCCAGGAUGGGUCUGGAACCACCGCUGCUGAACUUCAUGUGCAAGGGCAGCUGGCAGGUGCGUUUUAGGGGACGCGGUGCCGUAAAGCCGCCCUAAUCACGCACCAUGGCCCGGGGCCGACGCUGACAAGUAGGUCUGCGGGGUCAGGACCCGAAGGCCAGAGACAGAAUCACACAUUUGUGGGAAUUUUACAAACGAUGACGCUUGCAUCUCACACCCCGGAGGACCAGUGAGUGACGCGGUGUCUGCGGCCGUGCCUCUGAGCCGGGGGACGUCACCCCGCUCUGCCUUCCACGGAGCCCAGCGAGGCGUGGGCGGCUCCCACCUUGGUUGUGUGUUUGCCUCUUUGUUGAGUGAGAGGAGCCUGGACCUUCCGAAAGGGGCGGAGGAGGCGCUGGGAGCGGACACACCACUUGGCUGAGGAGGGAAGCCCACGGGAGGGGACGCACUGAGGGUACGGGCUGGUCACCAUGGUCAGAGGACAGCAUUGGCCACGCCGCCUAGCCCCCCUGUGCAUUUCCAGGGACAAAAGCAGGACUUGGUGGCCAGGGACUUGUGACCAGCAAGGAGGCGGAGCUCUGCACUAGGUCCAGAAGCCUGAUGCACGCGGAGCCUGGAGAACCACUCCUCAGCGGGGUCCUGGGCCCGUCCACACCUGCACCCACUUCCGCCAACUGUCUCCCCAGCCCGUGUCUGCUGCCAACGUCUCCAGAGACCCUGGGCCUCUGUGUCUCGGCCACCUCUGGACUGGGAUGUGGGGUGUCCAGUACUGACCCUUCUGAGACCUGGAGGAGUGAUGAGACUGGGGCUCUAACAGGUGUGACCCCAGGACGCACAGAGCUCACCUGCUGGACCCCAGGCCAGAGGGCUUCCUUCUUCUCCUCUCAGGUGACUCCUGUGGCUCACCCUUUGCGGGGGAUGGAGGGGUUUGGGGUAGGGGUAGCUCUUAGCUCUCGGGGGCGGGAGAGACGUGGCCUGGCUGUGUGUGCACCAGAUUUGCCCUCCCAGCCCCUGCCGCCUGCCCAGGCUUGGGGCACCCCUACUCUCUCCUUCCAUCCCUCUGUCAAAGGACGCUCUUGCCCUCUUGUGGCAAAGUCCCCUCUAGUGGACGCUGGAUGGGGUGGGUGUGUGGUGUGAGUGGUCAGACUUCACACGGAGGACUUCUGACUCCUGUUGACCAGGGGAGGGAGAAAGUCAGGUUUGUUUGUUUUUUUUAACAAACUUUUCUUUUUUCUCUUUAUUAAAGAGUCAUGAACCUCUCCUGGGUCAUUCUGGGUAAGGAAUGUAAUCGAGGGGUUAAUCAGUGGAGGCAGGAGUGGGGAGGGCAGAGAGGGAGGAGGGGAGUGGAGGGGAGAGGACAGAGAGGAGGGGGGGACCUUCCAAGUGUCCAGGUGUCCAAUGAAGGGGCUGAUUUUCCGUGUCACCCUGACGGGGCUGAGGGCACCCCGAUAGCUGGUGCAACAGCCACUUCCGGGUGUGUGUGUGGUGUGCACAGAACACAUCAGCCUCUGAACUGGUGGACGGAGUAAGAUCACCGUCCCCGAGGUGGGGGGGGCUUCACCCAACCCAUCGAGGGCCUGGAUGGAGUGAAAAGGGGGGGCAAACUGUGUCUCCCUUGCUGAGCUGGGACGUCCCUGUCGUCCUGCUCCUCUGACCGUGGAGCUCAGGUCUCGGGCCCUUGGACUCGGGCUGACUGACCGCACGGGCUCCCCUGGCCUCCAGCGCCCCUGCCUCCAGCUCGCAGACGGAGGCCCCGGGCCUCAGGCCUCCACCCUGGCGAGCCGAUCCGGCAAUGCCGACCUCACACCGUCGGUAGAUGUCCUGUUGGUUCCGUUUCUCCGGAGAACCAGGGUCCUGACUUGAACAAAUCUGCUGGAGUAAAGGCAUCUGGAGCAGCGGGGCCCACGCGCGUGGACGGUGCCCGGGGCGAUGUUAUAACAUAAUUAGGGAAUGUGGAGGCGAAUUAAUGACGUGGUGGCUGUGAGAAAACAUCCUACUUCUCAGGGACACAACAGAAAUGUUUCAAAUGGAACAAGCUGAUGUCAAUCAUUUGCUUUAGUGUAAUUUGGGCAACGCAAGACUGACCUGAUGCCGAUGCAGUGAGCACGGGGGGAGGGCGCAAGUGCCGAGUCUGGGGGCGCACACAGGCCCACGCUUCAUCUCUCUGUUUCCGUGAAUGGUUGAAAAAUGCUAGAAACUCAGGAAUAUGUUUCGAGAUGGCUUUACUAGGAGGCAUGAAAGAUCAAGAGAGAAUCAACCCCGGUGAAGAGGGUUCAUCUGGGGGCUUAAGGGCGGGUCCAGAGAUAGGAGGGUCCGCCCUGGCGCCUCCUGGAGCAGAACCCACAGUUGGCUGGUGUGUGCUCCACACGCCCAGGGACAGCGGGCAGGCCACCUGGGUCUAGACACCUCCAGCUAAAACUGGCUGGAACAAUAAAGCCACCGAAGAAUUCCGCGUGAGGAGAAGC